UGCGUAGGGUGCGAGCGUUAAUCGGAAUGACUGGGCGUAAACCGUGCGCAGGCGGCUUUGCAAGACAGAUGUGAAAUCCCCGGGCUCAACCUGGGAACUGCAUUUGUGACUGCAAGGCUAGAGUACGGCAGAGGGGGAUGGAAUUCCGCGUGUAGCAGUGAAAUGCGUAGAUAUGCGGAGGAACACCAAUGGCGAAGGCAAUCCCCUGGGCCUGUACUGACGCUCAUGCACGAAAGCGUGGGGAGCAAACAGG
rnacentral:rRNA from 1 species